AGAGUUUGAUCAUGGCUCAGAUUGAACGCUGGCGGCAGGCCUAACACAUGCAAGUCGAGCGGUAACACAGAGGAGCUUGCUCCUUGGGUGACGAGCGGCGGACGGGUGAGUAAUGCCUGGGGAUCUGCCCGAUAGAGGGGGAUAACUACGGGAAACUGUGGCUAAUACCGCACAAUGUCUACGGACCAAAGUGGGGGCUCUUCGGACCUCAUGCUAUCGGAUGAACCCAGGUGGGAUUAGCUAGUUGGUGAGGUAACGGCUUACCAAGGCGACGAUCAGUAGCCGACCUGAGAGGGUGAUCGGCCACAUUGGAACUGAGACACGGUCCAAACUCCUACGGGAGGCAGCAGUGGGGAAUAUUGCACAAUGGGCGAAAGCCUGAUGCAGCAACGCCGCGUGAGCGAUGAAGGCCUUCGGGUCGUAAAGCUCUGUCCUCAAGGAAGAUAAUGACGGUACUUGAGGAGGAAGCCCCGGCUAACUACGUGCCAGCAGCCGCGGUAAUACGUAGGGGGCUAGCGUUAUCCGGAAUUACUGGGCGUAAAGCGCACGUAGGCGGCUUUGUAAGUCAGAGGUGAAAGCCUGGAGCUCAACUCCAGAACUGCCUUUGAGACUGCAUCGCUUGAAUCCAGGAGAGGUGAGUGGAAUUCCGAGUGUAGAGGUGAAAUUCGUAGAUAUUCGGAAGAACACCAGUGGCGAAGGCGGCUCACUGGACUGGUAUUGACGCUGAGGUGCGAAAGCGUGGGGGAGCAAACAGGAUUAGAUACCCUGGUAGUCCACGCCGUAAACGAUGAUAACUAGCUGUCCGGGCACUUGGUGCUUGGGUGGCGCAGCUAACGCAUUAAGUUAUCCGCCUGGGGAGUACGGUCGCAAGAUUAAAACUCAAAGGAAUUGACGGGGGCCUGCACAAGCGGUGGAGCAUGUGGUUUAAUUCGAAGCAACGCGCAGAACCUUACCAGCGUUUGACAUGUCCGGACGAUUUCCAGAGAUGGAUCUCUUCCCUUCGGGGACUGGAACACAGGUGCUGCAUGGCUGUCGUCAGCUCGUGUCGUGAGAUGUUGGGUUAAGUCCCGCAACGAGCGCAACCCUCGCCUUUAGUUACCAUCAUUUAGUUGGGUACUCUAAAGGAACCGCCGGUGAUAAGCCGGAGGAAGGUGGGGAUGACGUCAAGUCCUCAUGGCCCUUACGCGCUGGGCUACACACGUGCUACAAUGGCGGUGACAGUGGGCAGCAAUCCCGCGAGGGUGAGCUAAUCUCCAAAAGCCGUCUCAGUUCGGAUUGUUCUCUGCAACUCGAGAGCAUGAAGGCGGAAUCGCUAGUAAUCGCGGAUCAGCAUGCCGCGGUGAAUACGUUCCCAGGCCUUGUACACACCGCCCGUCACACCAUGGGAGUUGGGUUCACCCGAAGGCGUUGCGCUAACUCGCAAGAGAGGCAGGCGACCACGGUGGGCUUAGCGACUGGGGUGAAGUCGUAACAAGGUAAAC
rnacentral:rRNA from 1 species